rnacentral:lncRNA from 1 species
AAGCAUUUAACAUGUAGUUGAAUGGUGUGAACUAAUUGGUUUUUAUGGUUGAUUAAUUGAAACUAAAACUCAAGAAUUAAGGUAAUAUUUCUCAAAAGCUCGUUAUGAUAGCAUUUUGAUUAUGCUUGAUUUGUGGUGUAGAUUAGUAUAGUCGAUAUUCUACAUUUGAUGUUGAAAUGUUAAUGCUAGUUGCAGCCCCCAGGGUUUUGGUCUAGUGGUAAGAGCACAAUGCGUGAUGUGUUGGUUAGGCGCAUAUCACGAGUUUGAACCCUGCCAUAGACAAAAGCUUGAUAUGUAAGUGGAGAAGGAGUAGAGAGGUUGUGCGCCAUUGGCCGUUGGAGAUUUCUCCGCUGUAAAAAAAUAGUAAUGUUAGUUGCAGUUAUGUUGUUAUUCGCACAUAUAUAUUGAGUAAUUUUUUUUUAUAGAUUGUGUUUCGGGAAAUUGUGAAAUUCGCUUAGUACCCAAGGGUGUGGUCUAAAGGUCAAUGAAGUUAAACUAUGAAAGACUAGGGUUCAACUGGAGAUAAAACACACCAAGUGAUUUACUUCCACCUGCCUUUGUCUUGGGGGCAUUAGGAAGAGUUACUCUGUCACAGUGUUGGUAGUAGAUAGUAGGUACCCAGUAGAAUAAUCCAGGUGCGCGCAAGUUGGCCCGUAAACCGUUAUGUAAAAAUGAAGUGCAGUUCACUUCUUACUUAAAGUCCCAGUAGCCUUUUCGCUGUAAAAAACACUGAAUCUUGUGCCCUAUUUUGACUUUUAAACCCCACGACCAACCAAAAAGAAAGGAAGAAAGAAAGAAAUAAAGAAAGAAAGAAAGAAAAAGAAACCCUAGCCUAAUCUCUAAGAAAGAAAUUGCUUUCAGAAGCCUAUGAGCUAUGUGUGACGUUAUUUAGUUUCGUAAAUGUGUAUAGCAUGCAAUUGUUAUAGCUGGUGGACUGAUGAUUCCCAAUCAUAGCAGGCUUAAUAUUGCAUGUGAAAGACUGUUCUAGAUGCUGCCUACUAUGAUUAUUCAGAAAUAAUUGGAGCUAACAAAAUUUGGCAUCAAUAGGAAUUGAUUAUGCUACAGUGACAUCCAAUUGCUUUGACUGAGAUCACUUGCCUGGGAACCUAAUUGAGACGAAAACUUAUGUAGGGUAAGAUUACAAACAUCUCACUUAUAAAAAGAAAAUAUCAUACCCAUCUUUUACUUGAGGCUCUGAGUGUUUUUAG